rnacentral:rRNA from 1 species
AUGGACGCGUGGCCAAGUGUGUGUUUCGUAGCCCUGUCCACGGUGCUGGCGAUUUGGCUUCUCAAGCUCUCGGGUAGCAAGAGCAAGUCAGCCAAGAAGAACCUACCUCCAGGGCCAUGGACUCUCCCGAUCAUCGGCAGCCUCCACCACGUCACCACUGCCCUCCCUCAUCGCACCAUAAUGAAGCUAUCUCGCCGUCAUGGGCCCCUAAUGCUUCUCAGGCUAGGCGAGGUCCCCACCGUGGUGGUCUCCAGCGCCGAGGUGAUGGCUGAGGUGACCAAGGCCAACGACCUCGCGUUCGCCGGCCGGCCGCGGAGUGCAACCAAUGAAUUGUUCGGCUCUGGCGGAAGGGACAUCGCCUUGGCCCCAUACGGUGACCAUUGGCGCCAGAUGCGCAAGAUCGGCGUCAUGGAGCUCCUCAGCUCCAAGCAGGUGAAACGCAUGGAAAGCAUCAGGGUUGAGGAGGUGGGCAGCCUCCUCCGGGAUAUCACGGCUUCAAAUGGCGCCACCAUCAACCUCAGCGAGAAGGCCAUGGCGCUCAGCAACCACGUCACCACGAGGGCAGUUUUCCGCGGCAAGUUCACACAGCAAGGUGAGUACCUCCGUGAGUUGGACAAAGCGUUUACGCUGCUGGGCGGCUUCUGCCUGCACGACCUCUUCCCGUCGUCGAGGUUGGUCAGGUGGCUGAGCAAUGGCGAGCGCGAGAUGAACAAAUGCCAUCGCCGCAUCCACCGCAUCAUUGCCAAUGUCGUCGAGGAGCGCAAGGCCUCGCGAGCUGCCCAUACCGGCAGCUCUGUCGCCGGCCACGAGGACAUGCUGGACGUGCUGCUCAGGCUGCAGCACGAGGACUCGUUGCAAUUUCCUCUAACCACAGAGACAAUGGGGGCCAUCUUGUUUGACGUAUUUGCAGGUGGCACGGAGACCACGGGAAAUGUUUUGAUAUGGGCCAUGGCAGAGCUUAUGCGUAGUCCAAACAGUAUGGCUAAAGCACAACAAGAAGUGCGUGAGGUUUUGGGUGAAGACCGAGCUGUCAUUACUAAUACCGACCUUGUUGAACUCCAGUAUAUGAGAAUGAUCAUCAAGGAGGUCCUUAGGUUGCAUCCGCCUAAUCCUCUUGUUCCCCGCAUGGCCAGAGAGGAUUGUACAGUUAUGGGUUAUGACAUCCCUAAAGACACUAGUGUAUAUAUUAACGUUUUUGCAAUUUCUCAAGACCCUAGAUAUUGGGACAAACCUGAAGAGUUUAGGCCAGAAAGGUUUGAGAAUAAUGACGUGAAUUACAAUGGGACAUACUUUGAAUUCCUUCCCUUUGGGACUGGGCGACGACAAUGCCCAGGUAUUCAGUUCAGCUCAUCAGUCACUGAGAUGGCAUUAACAAACUUUUUGUAUCACUUCGACUGGUUGCUUCCGAAUGGGGCUAACGCCGCUUCAGUUGACAUGUCUGAGAAAUUUGGGAUUAAUGUCAGCAAGAUGUAUGGCCUGCAACUCAUAGCUAUUCCACACGUGUGGUCCAAAGCUAUGUCGUCAAAGUGA